rfam:Venezuelan equine encephalitis virus strain AG80-663, complete genome.
AUGGGCGGCGCAUUAGAGAGUAGCCCAAAACUAAACUACCCAACAUGGAGAAAGUUCACGUUGACAUCGAGGAAGACAGUCCGUUCCUCAGAGCUUUACAACGGAGUUUUCCACAGUUUGAGGUAGAAGCCAAGCAGGUCACAGACAACGACCAUGCUAAUGCUAGAGCGUUUUCGCAUCUAGCUUCCAAAUUAAUCGAAACGGAGGUUGACCCAUCCGAUACGAUUUUAGACAUAGGCAGUGCGCCUGCCCGCAGAAU